rnacentral:rRNA from 1 species
UACGUAGGGCGCAAGCGUUGUCCGGAAUUAUUGGGCGUAAAGAGCUCGUAGGUGGUCUGUUACGUCUGCUGUGAAAACCCAGGGCUUAACCCUGGGCCUGCAGUGGAUACGGGCAGACUAGAGGUAGGUAGGGGAGAUUGGAAUUCCUGGUGUAGCGGUGGAAUGCGCAGAUAUCAGGAGGAACACCGGUGGCGAAGGCGGUUCUCUGGGCCUGUACUGACGUGAGGAGCGAAAAGCGUGGGGGAGCGAACAGG